CUCCAGCGUCUGCGACGGCGAGAUCAUGUGCACGUGCGAGUCGAACCCGCCGGCCGUCAGGAUCUUGCCCUCGCCGCUGAUGAUCUCGGUGGACGGCCCGAUCUGCAGGUCGGGAUGCGUGCCGUCGCUGAUGUCGUGGUUGCCAGCCCGCCCCAGGGCCACGAUCUUGCCGUUGCGGAUGCCGACGUCGGCCUUGACGAUGCCCCACCAGUCGAGGACGAUCGCGUUGGUGAUGACCGUGUCGGGGGCGCCCUGCGCGCUGGUGGUGCCGCCCUGGAGCAUCGACUCGCGGAU
rnacentral:sRNA from 1 species